rnacentral:rRNA from 1 species
CACAUCAUGGAAGUCACUUGUAGCCGAAGUGCGCGCGCCAACCCGCAAGGGAAGCAGCGCCCUACGCUAUGAGCGGUAACUGGGAUG